rnacentral:rRNA from 1 species
GAUGAACGCUGGCGGCGUGCCUAAUACAUGCAAGUCGAGCGAACAGACGAGGAGCUUGCUCCUCUGACGUUAGCGGCGGACGGGUGAGUAACACGUGGAUAACCUACCUAUAAGACUGGGAUAACUUCGGGAAACCGGAGCUAAUACCGGAUAAUAUAUUGAACCGCAUGGUUCAAUAGUGAAAGACGGUUUUGCUGUCACUUAUAGAUGGAUCCGCGCCGCAUUAGCUAGUUGGUAAGGUAACGGCUCACCAAGGCAACGAUGCGUAGCCGACCUGAGAGGGUGGUCGGCCACACUGGAACUGAGACACGGUCCAGACUCCUACGGGAGGCAGCAGUAGGGAAUCUUCCGCAAUGGGCGAAAGCCUGACGGAGCAACGCCGCGUGAGUGAUGAAGGUCUUCGGAUCGUAAAACUCUGUUAUUAGGGAAGAACAAAUGUGUAAGUAACUAUGCACGUCUUGACGGUACCUAAUCAGAAAGCCACGGCUAACUACGUG